rnacentral:rRNA from 1 species
GACGAACGCUGGCGGCGUGCUUAACACAUGCAAGUCGAACGGAAAGGCCCUGCUUUUGUGGGGUGCUCGAGUGGCGAACGGGUGAGUAACACGUGAGUAACCUGCCCUUGACUUUGGGAUAACUUCAGGAAACUGGGGCUAAUACCGGAUAGGAGCUCCUGCUGCAUGGUGGGGGUUGGAAAGUUUCGGCGGUUGGGGAUGGACUCGCGGCUUAUCAGUUUGUUGGUGGGGUAGUGGCUUACCAAGGCUUUGAGGGGUAGCCGGCCUGAGAGGGUGACCGGCCACAUUGGGACUGAGAUACGGCCCAGACUCCUACGGGAGGCAGCGGGGGGAAAUAUUGCCCAAUGGGCGGAAGCCUGAUGCAGCAACGCCGCGUGCGGGAUGACGGCCUUCGGGUUGUAAACCGCUUUCGCCUGUGACGAAGCGUGAGUGACGGUAAUGGGUAAAGAAGCACCGGCUAACUACGUG